rnacentral:tRNA from 1 species
UAAAUACCCCUCAAUGA